GCUAUGGUUGAUAAUGCAAGACAAGAAGAUUCUGGAAUUGUGAACCUUAUUCUGCGAUUUUGUGCCAAUACCUUGCUGUCAGCAGUUGAGUUUGUGAAUAAAUUCACCAUAAAUUUUGCAGCUAUAACUGGUGAAGCAUAUUGCACCUCUGCUAGGAUGACGUAUGAACUUCGUUGAGUUUGUGAAUAAAUUCACCAUAAACUUCGCAGCCAUAACUGGUGAAGCAUAUUGCACCUCUGCUAGGAUGACGUAUGAACUUCUAAAGCGCAAUCUUCUCUCUCCAGUUUUUGUGGAGACCGUCUCCACUCGCAUACUGGCUGGAAUAAUCUUUGUUCUCUCAACAAUAUAUGCAAUAUUGGUG
rnacentral:lncRNA from 1 species